rnacentral:rRNA from 1 species
UACGGAGGACGCGAGCGUUAUCCGGAUUCAUUGGGUUUAAAGGGUGCGCAGGCGGCCGUGUAAGUCAGCGGUGAAAUGCAGGGGCACAACUCCGGCAGUGCCGUUGAUACUGCGUGGCUGGAAUGCGGUCGAGGCGAGCGGAAUGUGGCGUGUAGCGGUGAAAUGCGUAGAUAUGCCACAGAACUCCGAUAGCGAAGGCAGCCCGCCAGGCCUGCAUUGACGCUCAGGCACGAAAGCGUGGGGAUCGAAC